rnacentral:misc_RNA from 1 species
GAUGAAGAACGCAGCGAAAUGCGAUAAGUAAUGUGAAUUGCAGAAUUCAGUGAAUCAUCGAAUCUUUGAACGCACCUUGCGCCCUUUGGCCAUUCCGAAGGGCAUGCCUGUUUGAGUAUCAUGAACACCUCAACUCUUUAUGGUUUUCCAUGAUGAGCUUGGACUCUGGGGGUUUUGCUGGCUCACAGUCGGCUCCUCUAAAAUGAAUCAGCUUACCAGUGUUUGGUGGGUAUCAUGGGUGUGAUAACUAUCUACGCUUGUGGUUUUUCCACCAGGUAACCUUCAGCAGUGGAGGUUCGCUGGAGCUCAUAGAUGUCUCUCCUCAGUGAGGACAGCCCUUUGAAUGCUUGAUCUCAAAUCAGGUAGGACUACCCGCUGAACUUAAGCAUAUCAAUAAGCGGAGGA